UCGUUUUCUUGACUUGAUUAGUUCUGCAUAAAACUUAAGCUUGUUUGGUGAAUCCUCUGAUGAAAUAAUAAUAUGUGCAUUUUAUAAGUACAUGCAUUCUUAGGAAUAAAAUAAAAUUCAAUCCCGUUUUUAUUUUGUAUGUAUGUUCUUAUUUGUGUAUAAAUGCAAGAUGUCACAAUAUGCUGUUCAAUUGAUGUAGUUUUGUAGAAAAUGGGUGUGAAAUUGUGCAGAUGUUUAGAAUGAACGUUUCUUUAUGAACCUGUGUUGUUUGUAGGGUUCACAAGAUAUUGGUCAUUGCUUGCACGAGAGGGCAUAUGAGGGAAAACAUUUGGACAGUGUGAGAAAUCUGGUAUUAAAAUAAGGUCAAUGUGCCCAUAGUUACCAAAUGACCAUUAAUAGGGUUCAAACAGGCCUAACUUUGACACUUACUGCUCCGUGAUUUUUCAGGUUGGAGCUGGAGUUGUUCUACGCUGCAAUGUCAGUUCGUUUUGGUGAACACAGCAUGCACAUUAUGAAACUAUUCUUUUUGACAUCGUGGAGUGAAAACAGACUGAACUUGAGGCCAUAGUUGAUCUGCCUCAGUUAACUCACACACGUCUUCCUCUGCUUCAGCUUCAUCUUCCAGCUGAACGCGCGAUAUAUGCAAGCGGGAGAUCCGUUGCAGCCUCUUGCGAAGCAGCCUCUCCAACAUCUCACGAGACUUGCGAACAAGCCAUAUAAACUAAUUAUUUUAAAAAGCUCAUAUUUAUUAACAUUUGACAGUAAUGGAGGAACGCAGCCAAAUGUAGCGAAGUAAACGUAAAGUUUUUUCACUAAAAAUGUACUUGAGUAAGAGUAAAAGUACAAUUCUUUAAAUAUACUCUAAAAGUACAAGUUACCCAAAAAACUUACUCAAGUAAAUGUAACUCGUUACUACCCACAUCUAGUAGUGGGUUUUUGUUUGUUAUUUUGGCCUUGUUGGCUCCCGAAGCUACACUCCCCCAUUAUACUCUAAACCCUUUGGUUUUCAUUAAAAUGCCACUUUAAUGCCUUUUUUCCACACUCUCUUGAGUCAUCAACUCUUUCUUGUUGCACCUUUACACUAGAUGGGGUGUAACAUGAAAUUGGUGGCUCAUCCAGGAUCUGAACCUGGGACCUCUCACACUGAGUGAUUUUAUCUCACUAGAUGGACACACACAUGGCACUGUGCUGGACGACACCCAGGACGAGUAGGCGGAGGCAGCGGAGAUGGCCAUCAAGCAGCUAAAUGAAAAACUGUUAAACAAGUGCCAAGUCACCACAGAGCACUUCAAAUCCUGCAAUCAUCGUGAGGCAGAGGCGCACAAGAAGCUGGAUGUGGGAUAAGCGCAGAAAAGUAUAGAGAGGCAGACUGGGCUCAGUCAGAAGACUGAGCAGGGUCUGAAUCUCUACAUUAAGAACAUGGAUGAGAACCUGGGUUACGAGGGUCCGCGCUUGUUCUUUGUGCAAUUUGGAAAAAUCAAAAACAUGAAGGUGAUGAUGGAGAAUGGCCGGUCUAGUGGGUUCGGCUCCGUGAACUUCACGUCCUCCUAGGAAGCACUGAACACCAUGAAUGAGGUCAUGGUUUUCUUGCUUGUCAGAGAAUGCAGAGGAUGCAGUUUAAUAUCAGAAACUCUCAGAAACUCUGCCAGCCCAUGUUGCCUCCCUGACUAAUGAAGAACUUCGUUCCUGAGGUAGACGUUACAUUGCUGCCCCAAAUUUCCACAAGAGGCUAUUGCUAGAUAGACAGAAACACCACCUGUGAUCAGAACAGAUGAAAUAACGUCUGUGAUACAGACCCCAAGCCAGAAGUUCGAGCCCCAUCCGGAUCUGAUGUGAAAGUGCAACAUCUAGCUGUGGACAGAUGUCAUUUUCUUCUGCACUUCUCUUUUAGGAAACCCUGAAGAUGAUAUUUUACAAUCAUGCAAAAACAUCAGCAAGAUUAAGAAGAAAAACAAUAAAAAAGAAGAUCAGGAAAAAGGAAUGAAUAAAAGCCCCA